AGUGAACGCUGGCGGUAGGCCUAACACAUGCAAGUCGAACGGCAGCACAGUAAGAGCUUGCUCUUACGGGUGGCGAGUGGCGGACGGGUGAGGCAUACAUCGGAAUCUACUUUUUCGUGGGGGAUAACGUAGGGAAACUUACGCUAAUACCGCAUACGACCUACGGGUGAAAGCAGGGGAUCUUCGGACCUUGCGCGAUUGAAUGAGCCGAUGUCGGAUUAGCUAGUUGGCGGGGUAAAGGCCCACCAAGGCGACGAUCCGUAGCUGGUCUGAGAGGAUGAUCAGCCACACUGGAACUGAGACACGGUCCAGACUCCUACGGGAGGCAGCAGUGGGGAAUAUUGGGCAAUGGGCGCAAGCCUGAUCCAGCCAUACCGCGUGAGUGAAGAAGGCCUUCGGGUUGUAAAGCCCUUUUGUUGGGAAAGAAAAGCAGCAGGUUAAUACCCCGCUGUUCUGACGGUACCCAAAGAAUAAGCACCGGCUAACUUCGUG
rnacentral:rRNA from 1 species